GAUGAACGCUGGCGGCGUGCCUAAUACAUGCAAGUCGAGCGAACAGACGAGGAGCUUGCUCCUCUGACGUUAGCGGCGGACGGGUGAGUAAUACGUGGAUAACCUACCUAUAAGACUGGGAUAACUUCGGGAAACCGGAGCUAAUACCGGAUAAUAUAUUGCACCGCAUGGUUCUAUAGUGAAAGACGGUUUUGCUGUCUCUUAUAGCUGGCUCCUCGUCGCAUUAGCUAGUUGGUAAGGUAACGGCUUACCAAGGCCACGAUGCGUAGCCGACCUGAGAGGGUGAUCGGCCACACGGGAACUGAGACACGGUCCAUACUCCUACGGGAGGCAGCAGUAGGGAAUCUUCCGCAAUGGGCGAAAGCCUUACGGAGCAACGCCGCGUGAGUGAUGAAGGUCUUCGGAUCGUAAAACUCUGUUAUUAGUGAAGAACAAAUGUGUAAGUAACUAUGCACGUCUUGACGGUACCUAAUCAGAAAGCCACGGCUAACUACGUG
rnacentral:rRNA from 1 species